UGCAAACAACAACAUAUCAACUAUAUAUUUUAAAAUUAAAUUUAAAAUUAAAUUUUAGAUUUAAAGAUUCAUCCAUACAUCUUAUGUAUCAAAAAAAUAAUUGAUUUUAAAUUUUUUUCAAAAAUAUGUAUGUCAAAAUUCAAUAAACAAAAAUCCGUGGCUCUGAUACCACUGUUGGAGUUUGGAAUUUGAAGCAUGCAUAUGUGUUUCAAAAAUUUAAUUUUCUAAAUACCA
rnacentral:lncRNA from 1 species